rnacentral:lncRNA from 1 species
CGGGCUUCUCUUGAACUGAAUUUUAAUGUGAGUAUUGUUAUGCGUUUACUUUUCUGCAUUGGCUAGAGGUAUAGGGGAGGGUUGAGAUCUCACAAACAUGUUUAACCCCGCCGCAUUUUUGCGCCUGUCCCAAGUCAGGAGCCUCUGGCCUUUGUUAGUCUUGUAUUAUUUUAACUUUUAGUUUCUUGUGUACAAUUUGGAGUUUAGUAUGGUGUUCAUUAUCACUGAACCAGUAUAUAUUUGUUUAGGGGCCAGCUGAAGGACGCCUCCGGGUGCGAGAAUUUCUCGUUGCAUUGAAGACCUGUUGGUGACCUUCUGCUGUUGUCUGCUCUAUGGUCGGGUUGUUGUCUCUUUGGCACAUUCCCCAUUUCCAU